ACACAGGAGCUUGCUCCUUUGACGUUAGCGGCGGACGGGUGAGUAACACGUGGGUAACCUACCUAUAAGACUGGGAUAACUUCGGGAAACCGGAGCUAAUACCGGAUAAUAUUUCGAACCGCAUGGUUCGAUAGUGAAAGAUGGUUUUGCUAUCACUUAUAGAUGGACCCGCGCCGUAUUAGCUAGUUGGUAAGGUAACGGCUUACCAAGGCGACGAUACGUAGCCGACCUGAGAGGGUGAUCGGCCACACUGGAACUGAAACACGGUCCAGACUCCUACGGGAGGCAGCAGUAGGGAAUCUUCCGCAAUGGGCGAAAGCCUGACGGAGCAACGCCGCGUGAGUGAUGAAGGUCUUCGGAUCGUAAAACUCUGUUAUUAGGGAAGAACAUACGUGUAAGUAACUAUGCACGUCUUGACGGUACCUAAUCAGAAAGCCACGGCUAACUACGUGCCAGCAGCCGCGGUAAUACGUAGGUGGCAAGCGUUAUCCGGAAUUAUUGGGCGUAAAGCGCGCGUAGGCGGUUUUUUAAGUCUGAUGUGAAAGCCCACGGCUCAACCGUGGAGGGUCAUUGGAAACUGGAAAACUUGAGUGCAGAAGAGGAAAGUGGAAUUCCAUGUGUAGCGGUGAAAUGCGCAGAGAUAUGGAGGAACACCAGUGGCGAAAGCGACUUUCUGGUCUGUAACUGACGCUGAUGUGCGAAAGCGUGGGGAUCAAACAGAUUAGAUACCCUGGUAGUCCACGCCGUAAACGAUGAGUGCUAAGUGUU
rnacentral:rRNA from 1 species